AGGAAAAGAAACUAACCAAGGAUCCCCCUAGUAACUGCGAGUGAAGCGGGAAAAGCUCAAAUUUAAAAUCUGUCAGCCUUUGGCUGUCCGAGUUGUAAUCUAGAGAAGCGUUAUCCGCGCUGGACCGUGUACAAGUCUCCUGGAAUGGAGCGUCAUAGAGGGUGAGAAUCCCGUCUUUGACACGGACUGCCAGGGCUUUGUGAUGCGCUCUCAAAGAGUCGAGUUGUUUGGGAAUGCAGCUCAAAAUGGGUGGUAAAUUCCAUCUAAAGCUAAAUAUUGGCGAGAGACCGAUAGCGAACAAGUACCGUGAGGGAAAGAUGAAAAGAACUUUGGAAAGAGAGUUAAACAGUACGUGAAAUUGCUGAAAGGGAAACGCUUGAAGUCAGUCGCGUUAGCCAGGGAUCAACCUUGCUUUUGCUUGGUGUACUUUCUGGUUGACGGGUCAGCAUCAAUUUUGACUAUUGGAAAAAGAUCAGGGGAAUGUGGCAUCUUCGGAUGUGUUAUAGCCCUUGGUUGCAUACAAUGGUUGGGAUUGAGGAACUCAGCACGCCGCAAGGCCGGGUUUUAACCACGUACGUGCUUAGGAUGCUGGCAUAAUGGCUUUAAUCGACCCGUCUUGAAACACGGACCAAGGAGUCUAACAUGCCUGCGAGUGUUUGGGUGGAAAACCCGAGCGCGUAAUGAAAGUGAAAGUUGAGAUCCCUGUCGUGGGGAGCAUCGACGCCCGGACCAGACCUUUUGUGACGGUUCCGCGGUAGAGCAUGUAUGUUGGGACCCGAAAGAUGGUGAACUAUGCCUGAAUAGGGUGAAGCCAGAGGAAACUCUGGUGGAGGCUCGUAGCGAUUCUGACGUGCAAAUCGAUCGUCAAAUUUGGGUAUAGGGGCGAAAGACUAAUCGAA
rnacentral:rRNA from 2 species